UUCAGCAGUCCUAAUUACACAAAAUUGAAUUUCUCUAAUCUAAAUAAGUGCACCUAAUUUAUUCAAGUUGCUCAAGUUAUCUUCCCCUUAUGAAUUUGGCAAUAACUCUAUCUCCAAAGUUCAUGCUGUGUAUUAAUAGUAUUGAUUAAUUAUGAAUUUAUCAUUAAUAAAUCAAUCAUUAUCUCAUAAGUCAUCAAACACGCAGAAUUUUGUCUAUGCGAUCGCUUCUAAUACAACGCAAGCAAAAAAAAACAGCUUGCUUGUGAUCCAUGAGAUUACGCUUGUCUUUGAUUCAGCUGUCUAUAUAUUUAAUGUCAAUAAAAAGAGAUUUCUCAUUGAAAGAAAUGUAUGGUUCUGAGGAAAUUUGGAGCGCCUUCAUUUUCAAGCGAUACUCUUCGCCUUGCUUUUCGGUUAGUUUAGAUGCCAACCCAAACCGAACUAAACUUCCAUGGAACUCUUGCGGAAUUGCAGUUAAGAUGGUGCAUUUUGUUUCAAUUCUUGAGUCAAAACAUACAGCGUAAAAUUGGAAAAAUGUGUGUUCCAGCGUCAGAAAUUCUCCUACUAUCAAUUGCAAUGCAUAAAAAUUGACAGGUUUUACUGAACACUUAACUUUCAUGUGAGAUUUUGCUAUAAACACAUGUUGGGAUGUUA